rnacentral:rRNA from 1 species
UACGGGGGGGGCAAGCGUUGUUCGGAAUUACUGGGCGUAAAGGGCUCGUAGGCGGCCAACUAAGUCGGACGUGAAAUCCCUCGGCUCAACCGGGGAACUGCGUCCGAUACUGGAUGGCUUGAGUUCGGGAGAGGGAUGCGGAAUUCCAGGUGUAGCGGUGAAAUGCGUAGAUAUCUGGAGGAACACCGGUGGCGAAGGCGGCAUCCUGGACCAUAACUGACGCUGAGGCGCGAAAGCUAGGGGAGCAAACGGG